UACAUAGGUGGCAAGCGUUGUUCGGAUUCAUUGGGUGUAAAGGGUAGGUAGGCGGUUUCGCAAGUCUGUUGUGAAAGCCCAGGGCUCAACCCUGGAAUUGCAACAGAAACUACGUUACUUGAGUGUUGUAGAGGUAAGGGGAAUUCCAGGUGUAAGGGUGAAAUCUGUAGAGAUCUGGAGGAAUACCUAAGGCGAAGGCACCUUACUGGGCAAUAACUGACGCUAAACUACGAAAGCUGGGGGAGCAAACAGG
rnacentral:misc_RNA from 1 species